GGCACUGUCCUAACCUAAAACAGGAAGAAGGCAAGGUCGCUUAAAAAAAAAAAAAAAAAAAAAAAAAAAUCCAAUUUUUCUCUACCCUCCUUUUAAAAUACGGUAACUGGUGACCAAGUUUUGCUAAAAACAGGUAUGUAGAAGAUUACAGACUUGACGUGGAAUUUCUUCAUCCCAAAGAGGUGGGGCUGUGAAGGGAGGAGGGGGUGGUGCUCGGUUUCUGCCAGAUGGGAAAGCCACAUGAAGUGGAGAAACAGCCGCGUUCAGGGUUUAUCCCCAAAUCAAAAUCAGAUUUUUGAACCACAGGACCUCCAAAUUAGGGGAAUCAGAAGGCUCUGCUUUUAAAAUAACCUCUAAACAAGUGUCAUCUGUCCUCUGAGCCAAUCCCCUGCCGAGGGAGAAGGCUCGGGUUACGGGGCAGUGGUGUUAUUUCAGAAAUCCUUGUCACCUCGUGUCAUCCACCCUCUCCGAGAAUCACAGUCCCACCUUGGGGGAGAGGGACAAAAGCCACGGCCAGGCAGGCCGGAGGCCAGCGGGGCCAGCCCGCCGGCCGGCGCACGCACGGAAGCCAGGGCCAGGGUGCCCUCCAUUCCGGCUCGCGGGCACCGGGUGGCAGGCCCCGAGGAACGCUCCCGAGACCCGGCGGCAGCGCCCAGGGGCAACAGACCCGGGGUGACAAAUCCUUGGAUACCAGCUAGGAGGAGCUGCCCACAGCAGGUUAAGUUUAAGGAGCGUCGUCUCUGCCCUCCGCUCCCUCCGGGGAAAGACCCCCGGUGCGGAAUCCCUGGGAAAACCUGGAAGGAGCCGCCUACAGCGAGUAGUGAAGCUUGAGAAGGACCGUCUCUGUCUGCAGUCUCCUCUCCUCCGGGUAAAGACCGGGCCUUUAAAAUCCCUUGAAAUAAGCCCAGCACUUGCUCCAUUAGUUUGAGAAAAGCCUCUUUUAUUCGCCCCUGCCGCUUUGGACGAAAGCCCUGGUUAAUGCCCCGUCCUCCCUCCCUCCCCGCGGGGAUCUCCCUUAAAAGCUUUUGAAAGGGACUGGAGAGGAGGCAGCCGCAGCCUGCCCGGGGCUGCUGCCACAGAGGGCGGCCAGCAUUUCACUCUCACCGACCAUGGCAACCCCAGAAGCUUUGCAACUCCUGGGAGGAAUUUGCAGCUGUCAGGGAAGCCCUGCGGUUUGCAGCGACUCCGAGGUGGAUAAGGGGCCCCAGGGCUUCCUCGUCCUGCGGGGUAGAAAGGAAUAAUCGGGAGGGCGACCCCUUUGCUGACCUUUAUUCGAAGCACUGUGCUGCUGGAAACAACAGGCUCGCACUGAGUAUAUAUCCAGGCAGGGAGCUAUGUUGGAAAUGCUCGAAGUUCGGACAAAGUAAAUAUCUGCUGGCUCCUCCCCUCGAUUCAAGUUUUAAAUCACAAAAAUUAUAUUUCUGAAUUCAGCACUGCCCUGGUUUUCAAGCUGUGAGGUCAAUGUGGUGGGGGCACCCCGGAAAUCCAGAAUCCACAUUCCAUAUCUAAAAGAGUCACCUCACCCCCUCAUCUGAACACUUCAGCUCUAAGAAGCAACCUAUAUAAUCAUAGAUGCCAUAAAAUGAGGUCACUGCUAAUGGUGGGGUACUCCUGUAAACACUUCUGUUUUUAUCUUUUCUCCCCUACUCAUUCUGCUGAGCCUGUCUUUAUUUUAAAAUGCUGAUGUCUUGUUCAUUAUAUAUUUUUUUGCAUUUAUUUCUAUUUUUUAAAUAUUGUGUCAAAACAUUCUGUCUCUAAACUUUAAAUUUAGUGACCAAGGCCUGGUCCCAGCCCUCCUAGCAGAACAGUAACUGGGAUCAGUCCCCCAGAGUGGCCAAUAUUAAGACUAAAGAACAUGCUCGGUCCUACCUCAAAAUAAGCUCUCACGUUCCAUUUUUAGAUUUAGCCACUGAUCAUUUUAAAAUGCAUGUCUUCUGUAAAAGUAUUAGAACAGCUCAAUUGACAAGACUUUGGAAGAUGGAGGACGGUAGCAAAGUAGAAAACCAGGAAGGGUCUCCCAAGUCUUCAUUUUACAAAGUGAGGAAGUUAGUAGAUAUCUGUGUUUUUUUUUGUUUGUUUUCUGGAACGAAAAAAUAAAGGUUUAAUCAUAUCCUUGAUGUAGGCGUAACUACAAAUAGUGGUAGAACUGUGUCGAGGGAGAGAGGGUAGUAGUGCUUCAAUCAUAACAGAUUGUCAGUAGAGGGUGUCCACAAACGAUAAGUAAGUAGCAAUAUAAGUGUAUUCUUUUUUCUUUUUAAGAUUUUAUUUAUUUAUUUGACAGAGACAAAAACAGUGAGAGAGGGGAUACAAGCAGGGGGAGGGGGAGAGGGAGAAGCAGGCUUCCCACUGAGCCGAGAGCCCCAUACAAGGUCCAAUCCCAGGACCCCGGGAUCACCACCCUAGCAGAAGGCAGACGCUCAAUGGCGGAACCACCCAGAUGCCCUAUACGUGUAUUCUUAGACAUACAGAAGUUACUACCAGAAAAGCAAGAAGCAGAAAAAUAGUGGUCUUGGGGCACCUGGCUGGCUCAGUUGGUAGAAGUCCGAGACUCCUGGACUCAAGGGUUGUGGGUUUGGGCCCCAUGUUGAGUGUAGAGAUUAUUUAAAAAUAAAAUCUAUUUAGGGCGCCUGGGUGGCUCAGUGGGUUAA